rnacentral:rRNA from 1 species
AUUGAACGCUGGCGGCAGGCCUAACACAUGCAAGUCGAACGAGUGGCGGACGGGUGAGUAAUGUCUGGGAAACUGCCUGAUGGAGGGGGAUAACUACUGGAAACGGUAGCUAAUACCGCAUACCAUCGGAUGUGCCCAGAUGGGAUUAGCUUGUUGGUGGGGUAACGGCGCACCAAGGCGACGAUCACUAGCUGGUCUGAGAGGAUGACCAGCGACAUGGGAACGUAGACACGGGCCAGACUCCUACGGGAGGCAGCAGUGGGGAAUAUGGCACAAGGGGCGCAAGCAGGAUGCAGACAUGCCGCGUGUAUGAAGAAGGCCUUCGGGUUGUAAAGUACUUGCAGCGGGGAGGCGGUACCCGCAGAAGAAGCACCGGCUAACUCCGUGCCAGCAGCCGCGGUAAUAC